ACAACAUUUGCACAGUCGGUCUACCGAGCAAUAUCACCCGCUCGGUGGAAGAUCUUUCCUUUCGUCGG
rnacentral:pre_miRNA from 1 species